AGGAUGAACGCUGGCGGCGUGCCUAAUACAUGCAAGUCGAGCGGUAAGGCCCUUUCGGGGUACACGAGCGGCGGACGGCUGAGUAACACGUAGGAACGUACCCAAACUGAGGGAUAAGCACCAGAAAUGAUGUCUAAUACCGCAUGUGCACAAUAGGUUUAUACCUAAAGUGUAAAGCUACGGCGGUUUGGGAACGGCCUGCGCAUGAUUAGCUUGUUGGUGAGGUAAUGGCUCACCAAGGCGAUGAUCAUUAGCUGGUCUGAGAGGAUGAUCAGCCAGACUGGGACUGAGAACGGCCCAGACUCCUACGGGAGGCAGCAGUAGGGAAUUUUCCACAAUGGGCGAAAGCCUGAUGGAGCAACGCCGCGUGCAGGAUGAAUGCCUUCGGGUUGUAAACUGCUUUAUCUGUGACGAAUAUGACGGUAGCAGAUGAAUAAGCUUCGGCUAACUCCGUGCCAGCAGCCGCGGUAAU
rnacentral:rRNA from 1 species